UGUGCACGCCCGAGCGCUCUCACACAAUCCAUCUCACCCCUUUGUGCAUCACCGCGUGGGUCUUCCCUUUGCGGGGAGGGCCUGCGUUUUCACAUAAAACCCGAUACAGUGUAGAGUGUUUAUUUUUGCGGUCAUACGCAAUCAAUACAACUUUCAACAACGGAUCUCUUGGCUCUCGCAUCGAUGAAGAACGCAGCGAAAUGCGAUACGUAAUGUGAAUUGCAGAAUUCAGUGAAUCAUCGAAUCUUUGAACGCACCUUGCGCCCCUUGGCAUUCCGAGGGGCACACCCGUUUGAGUGUCGUGAAAUCCUCAAAGCCCCUUUUUCUUUGACGAGAAAGAGGAGUUUUGGACUUGGAGGUUCAAUGCUCGCUUUCGAUUCCGAAAGGCGAGCUCCUCUCAAAUGAAUCAGUGGGGUCCGCUUUGCUGGUCCUUGACGUGAUAAUGUGUUUCUACGUUUUGGAUCUGGCACUGUCACUUGGAUGCCCGCUUCUAACCGUCUCAUAGAGACAAUGAUGGUGCUCCGGUCACCGCCACCUACACUGGCGGGAGGCUUGACCCACGACAAAAAACCUUGACCUCAAAUCGGGUGAGACUACCCGCUGAACUUAAGCAUAUCA
rnacentral:rRNA from 1 species